UUUACCCUACUGAUGCCCGC
rnacentral:siRNA from 1 species